rnacentral:tRNA from 1 species
GCACCCAUAGUGAAAUGGAUAUCACGAAAGUCUACGGAACUUUUAUUUCAGGUUCGAGCCCUGAUGGGUGCACCA